rnacentral:rRNA from 1 species
GAGUUUGAUCCUGGCUCAGGAUGAACGCUAGCGACAGGCUUAACACAUGCAAGUCGAGGGGCAGCGGGGCGGCAGGCUUGCCUGCCGCCGCCGGCGACCGGCGCACGGGUGAGUAACACGUAUGCAACCUGCCCGUGGCAGGGGGAUAAGCGGGGGAAACCCCGUCUAAUACCGCGUAACGCGGCCUAGGGACAUCCCAAGGCCGCCAAAGGGAGCAAUCCCGGCCACGGAUGGGCAUGCGGCGCAUUAGCUAGUCGGCGGGGUAACGGCCCACCGAGGCGACGAUGCGUAGGGGUUCUGAGAGGAAGGCCCCCCACACUGGUACUGAGACACGGACCAGACUCCUACGGGAGGCAGCAGUGAGGAAUAUUGGUCAAUGGGCGCGAGCCUGAACCAGCCAAGUCGCGUGAGGGAGGACGGCCCUACGGGUUGUAAACCUCUUUUGCCGGGGAGCAACGGGCGCCACGUGUGGCGCCACUGAGAGUACCCGGAGAAAAAGCAUCGGCUAACUCCGUGCCAGCAGCCGCGGUAAUACGGAGGAUGCGAGCGUUAUCCGGAUUUAUUGGGUUUAAAGGGUGCGUAGGCGGAUCGUUAAGUCAGUGGUCAAAUUGAGGGGCUCAACCCCUUCCCGCCAUUGAAACUGGCGAUCUUGAGUGGAAGAGAAGUAUGCGGAAUGCGUGGUGU